rnacentral:rRNA from 1 species
GACGAACGCUGGCGGCGUGCUUAACACAUGCAAGUCGAACGAUGAAGCGCCAGCUUUCUGGCGUGGAUUAGUGGCGAACGGGUGAGUAACACGUGAGUAACCUGCCCCCUACUCUGUGAUAAGCCUGGGAAACUGGGUCUAUUACUGGAGAUGACCAAUCACUGCAUGGUGUGUUGGUGGAAAGAUUUUUUGGUGGGGGAUGGACUCGCGGCUUAUCAGCUUGUUGGUGGGGUAAUGGCAUACCAAGGCGACGACGGGUAGCCGGCCUGAGAGGGCGACCGGCCACACUGGGACUGAGACACGGCCCAGACUCCUACGGGAGGCAGCAGUGGGGAAUAUUGCACAAUGGGCGAAAGCCUGAUGCAGCGACGCCGCGUGAGGGAUGACGGCCUUCGGGUUGUAAACCUCUUUCACCAGGGACGAAGCUAACGUGACGGUACCUGGAGAAGAAGCACCGGCUAACUACGUG